GGGCCCGCACAAGCGGAGGAACAUGUGGUUUAAUUCGAUGAUACGCGAGGAACCUUACCCGGGCUUGAAAUGCAGAAGACGAAGGAUGAAAGUUCUUUUCCAGCAAUGGCUUCUGUGUAGGUGCUGCAUGGUUGUCGUCAGCUCGUGCCGUGAGGUGUCGGCUUAAGUGCCAUAACGAGCGCAACCCUUAUCAAUAGUUACUAUCAGGUUAAGCUGAGGACUCUAUUGAGACUGCCACCGUAAGGUGUGAGGAAGGUGGGGAUGACGUCAAAUCAGCACGGCCCUUACGUCCGGGGCGACACACGUGUUACAAUGGGGGGGUACAGAGGGCAGCUACCUGGUGACAGGAUGCAAAUCUCAUAAAGCCUCUCUCAGUUCGGAUUGGAGUCUGCAACUCGACUCCAUGAAGCUGGAUUCGCUAGUAAUCGCGCAUCAGCCAUGGCG
rnacentral:rRNA from 1 species